rnacentral:rRNA from 1 species
CCUACGGGUGGCAGCAGGGAGGAAUAUUGGGCAAUGGACGAGAGUCUGAACCAGCGAAGUAGCGUGAAGGAUGAAGGCCCUAUGGGUUGUAAACUUCUUUUAUAGGGGAAUAAAAUGUUCCACGUGUGGGAUUUUGUAUGUACCCUAUGAAUAAGGACAGGCUAACUCCGUGCCAGCAGCCGCGGUAAUACGGAGGGUCCGAGCGUUAUCCGGAUUUAUUGGGUUUAAAGGGAGCGUAGGUGGAUUGUUAAGUCAGUUGUGAAAGUUUGCGGCUCAACCGUAAAAGUGCAGUUGAAACUGGCAGUCUUGAGUACAGUAGAGGUGGGCGGAAUUCGUGGUGUAGCGGUGAAAUGCUUAGAUAUCACGAAGAACUUCGAUUGCGAAGGCAGCUCGCUGGACUGCAACUGACGCUGAGGCUCGAAAGUGUGGGUAUCAAACAGGAUUAGAUACCCCAGUAGUC